rnacentral:rRNA from 1 species
AGUGAACGCUGGCGGUAGGCCUAACACAUGCAAGUCGAACGGCAGCACAGUAAGAGCUUGCUCUUACGGGUGGCGAGUGGCGGACGGGUGAGGAAUACAUCGGAAUCUACUUUUUCGUGGGGGAUAACGUAGGGAAACUUACGCUAAUACCGCAUACGACCUACGGGUGAAAGCAGGGGAUCUUCGGACCUUGCGCGAUUGAAUGAGCCGAUGUCGGAUUAGCUAGUUGGCGGGGUAAAGGCCCACCAAGGCGACGAUCCGUGGCUGGUCUGAGAGGAUGAUCAGCCACACUGGAACUGAGACACGGUCCAGACUCCUACGGGAGGCAGCAGUGGGGAAUAUUGGACAAUGGGCGCAAGCCUGAUCCUGCCAUACCGCGUGGGUGAAGAAGGCCUUCGGGUUGUAAAGCCCUUUUGUUGGGAAAGAAAAGCAGCAGGUUAAUACCCCGCUGUUCUGACGGUACCCAAAGAAUAAGCACCGGCUAACUUCGUG